GCUACCUUAUGUCGAACGAGAUCUGUCCAGUUGACAAUUACACCCUUUCUCUAGCCUGAUUUUAUAGCUCGCACCCCCACCUCCCUCCCGUCCGCCGCUUGAGCCUUCUCGACCUGCCCUUUCGCCGUCAACGAGCUCUGACGAGAAGGCCAUAACCCAGCUCUCCUUCCUCUCAGAAACCCUAACUAAGGUUUUCUCUGCCUCGGCAACGAUGCCUUCUUCCUUAUCUUGUGCCAGGCUGACGGCUUGGACGAUCGCCGCCGUCGCGCUUCAGAUCCUCGGUCUCUCCCUCUUUGUGAUCGGAUUCUUUCCCGUUAAACCCACUCUCCGCGGAUUUAGUGGUCCGGAGAGUUACCAAAUGCCAACUUGUAAUUCCACUUCGGAUGGUAAAGAGACGGAGCUUCCUCCAGAUCAGCUUAGAUCGUUGUACGAGGAAAUAUCUAAAAUGCCUCCAUCAUAUGAUCGAUUGAUAUUGAUGGUCAUUGAUGGAUUACCUGCUGAAUUUGUACUGGGAAGAGAUGAGAAGCCACCAAAUAAGGCUAUGAUAGAGGCAAUGCCAUAUACUCAAUCUUUAUUGACCAAAGGAGGGGCAACAGCUUAUCAUGCAAAAGCUGCACCUCCUACAGUUACCAUGCCUAGGUUAAAGGCAAUGAUUUCUGGUGCAAUUGGAGGUUUCUUGGAUGUGGCACUCAAUUUUAACACUCAAGCUUUUUUAGAUGACAAUCUUCUUGAUCAGUUCUAUCGCAUUGGUUGGAAAUUGGUGAUGCUUGGUGAUGAGACUUGGAUCAAACUGUUCCCUAAAUUAUAUACUAGACAAGAUGGAGUGAGCAGUUUUUAUGUGAAAGAUACAGUUGAAGUUGAUUUUAAUGUUUCUCGUCAUCUAGAUGUUGAACUUGCUGCUGAAGAUUGGGACCUUUUGAUUCUUCAUUAUCUAGGCUUAGAUCAUGUUGGUCAUAUCGGCGGACGUCAAAGUACAUUGAUGGCCCCAAAGCUGAAGGAGAUGGAUGAAGUUGUUAAGAUGAUUCACAUGCGCAAUAUUCUGAAUCAAAGCAAUACUACUAGUCGCACUCUUUUGGUGGUGGUUAGCGACCAUGGAAUGACUGAUGGAGGGAAUCAUGGAGGAUCUUCAUAUGAAGAAACUGACUCGUUACUUCUUUUUAUUGGCGCAGGGGCUAAAGGCUCAGAUUAUUCUCCCUAUGCCCAUAAAGCUUUCCAGGUAGAUAUCGCACCAACUUUAGCUCUGCUGUUUGGAGUUCCAAUUCCAAAGAACAACAUAGGAGUUCUGCUGACGAAGAUGUUUGAUUCUUUGACAGAUGAGCAAAAGUUACGAGCGUUAGAGUUGAAUGCAUGGCAGUUAUUGAGAUUACUGCAAGCACAUUUACCUGGUUUACUAUGUGGAGAUUUGAGUUGUGUUGGUGAUGAACAAUGUUUGCAAAUUAAUGGAUCUACAACCACGAUUAAGGAAAAGUUCUGUCAUUUAUUUUCAAAGGCAAUGGCUGCUCAUAAUUUGUGGCAACUUCGUCAGGCUUCUGGCUUCAUAUCUGAUAGUGAUGACCUAAGGAUUGUUGUUGAAUCUUACUAUGAAUUUCUAAGAAGUGCCAGUGAGUGGUUGUCUCAUAGAGCCAGUGAUAAACCCAUCAACUUGCUUCUGUCUGGAAUUGCCAUUAUGCUCAUAUCAUGUUUUCUUCUGCUGAUUCUUCUAAUUUUCUUGUUAAAAGAAGUUUAUUUUACACAAACGGAAUCCUGUUCUCAACUGAAAGAGGCAAGACGAAGCUGCCAUAUUGAUGAAAUUUUUGUUUUUAUUGGGAUCAUAAUCCAUGUUCUCAGUUUCGCUUCAAGCUCCAUGGUGGAAGAAGAGCAAUAUACAUGGCAUUUUUUGACAUCCACAUUGCAUUUGCUGUUUCUCUUUUCAGCAAUCCAAUUGCUUUUCAAAAUACAAGCAUCAAAGGGAAGAGAGGAAGAGCUUACUACCCAUCAAUCAUCCAUUAGUGUUGCAAGCAGUAUUCCCAUGAUUACAAAUGAAAAUUAUAAGAUAUCUUCUGUCCUUGUUGUUCUCUUUUGUGCAAGGAUUCUAAGAGGCUGGCAUCAAGGUGGAGUGAACUGGGUUCAUCUUCCUGAUAUGUCAAAGUUGCUUGUCCAAGCUGGUUCUUUUACUAUAAAAGUUAUUCAUAUAAUCUCACUACUUACUAUCAUGAUACUGGGUUUAUUUGCCCUUAGCAUGGUAAGAUUGAAGAGAGGCUUAGUUUUUUUGGUUAGUUUGAGCCAUUUUGUGUCUGGCUUGCUGGUCUUUCUGCAUAUCGUGGAAAGUCAAAGCAAUAAUAUGGUGCCAAUGAAUCAGAGUACUGCUUCAAUAGCUCAGAUCUUUUAUAUCAACAUUGGGAGUACAGUGAUGUUGACUGUAUUAGUAUCACCAUGGGUUAUACCUAUUCCUUGUCAGGAAACCCAUAUGAUGACAGAAACCAGCUUGAACUGCCAUUCCACCAAUAUGAGAAGUGAUUCUCUUCUGCUAGGUUUUCAAGAUUGUACGUAUAUGAUUGGCACAACAUUUGUUGCCUCUUGGUGCCUUCUGCAACUGAUUCUGCAGCAGCCAAUAAAUGCUAUACCUGUUUUACUGAUUUUCUUGCAAUUAUUAGGCUGCAUAAUAUAUUUUUCAAUUGAUGGAUCACAUCAUAAGCAGUGGGUUGAGGUUGCUGCCAUCUAUUUCUUAGGAAUGGCAGGUCAUUUUGGUCUUGGGAACAGCAACAGCUUAGCUACGAUUGACGUUGCUGGAGCAUUCAUAGGUAUCUCAAGUCAUUCAACAGUGCUUUCUGGAAUUUUAAUGUUCAUGAUUACCUAUGCAUCACCAAUGUUAUCAUUUCUCAGCAUGUUGAUGUAUAUAUCUGUGAAAAAUACGAGAUAUCUUUCACUUCCAAAGAAAUCGAAGUGGAGCUGUAUGCUCGAAGUGAAGCUUGCAUUUCCGUGUUUGCUUCCCUUGGUCCUAAACUCGGUUGUGCUGACUGUGUUCACCAUUAUAUUGCUUCUCAUGAGGAAUCAUUUGUUUGUUUGGAGUGUUUUUUCGCCAAAGUACCUGUACAUUUGUGCUGCUACAGUGUGUGUCUAUGUUGGAGUAUUCAUAAUAGCUGCAACAGGAUUUUACACUUCCACUGUGUUAUCUUUUAGAACAAAAAGGCUCGAGCCAAAGGUUCGCAAUUUUUUAUUCAAAAUUCAAUAAUGACAAGCCAGGUGUAUCCAUCUUCUUAGCAAGGAGUAUCCCAAAAUUAAAUUCAAGAUAAAAGGGCAUUUUUUUCGUCAUACCACCAAGAACAACAUAUAGGUGAAGUUUUCUGCUGAAGCUUCUUUCUGAAAUACUGGUUCUACUUCCAAAGACUUGAUAGUGAGAUGUAUAUGUUAGCUUUGUAGAAAUAUCAAUUGGUGUAUCACAUCUUGCUUUGUUAAACAACGAUCAUAUAAGGGAAGAAAAGAUGUUGCCUUGAGUGGAGAUUAAGUCUUUGAAGCAUAAUGUAGCACAACUCAGAAGGUCUUCCAGAUCAAACAGGUGAAAGUUGCCAUAAAAUAAUAAAAAAUAUAGAAGAAGAAGAAGAUGAUGAUGAUGAAGAAGAUAUUAGCUUCUGUAAGCCAUAACUUCUCUCAUAAAUAUUGAAUGUCACGGAACUUGGGAAUUAUUGGGAUGAACUUUCAUAGAUCUACAAGUGACAAUUGCAACUUGUGUCCAAUUCUAUGUUUUCAAGGUCAAAAAUUGGCUUAAAAGUUUUAGUUGCAGUUUGUUGAUGAAUAUAUCCCUUUUUUGGCAUUUUUAGCGAAAUGCCCUUAGAACUAGGCUGUGUUAAAAGUUUUCUAGGGUUAGUGUGGGGAUUGAUACAAAUAGCUUGCAGCACUAUAAGUAGAUUGUUUUGUGACAUGAGUAUCAUGUAUUGAUCUUUUCCUGAUGUGAAUUCCAUGGUUCUUUUAUUGUUCGCAACUCUCAUUUUCGUUUUAUUUUAAUACAUUCUUCCUUCUAGAGGUUUGCCGGCUCUGUAGGUUCAUCAGUAGUGUCAAAGUAGUAAUAAGCAAAUUUUUCUGCAUAAAAUGGCUUUAGUUUUCAAAAUUCUUAUUGAGGCAAUAAAUUUUAAGUUUGAAGCAUUAAUGGAUGAUUUUAAGAGCGAUGGUUAUAUCAGAGAACCUGAUUCAAUCGUUUCUUAACCUUUUACAAUUGGAAAUUGUGAAAAGUGGCACUAUUAGUUGGAUCCCUCUGAACCAAAAAUAUAAAGCCUAAAUCACCUGCCCCUACUUCUACCUCUAGAGGUUGAGAAACAUAUGAAUCUUCUUAGAAUAUUGAGAGCAUCCAUUCCUUUUAGUUCUUGAUUUGCUUUCUAAUGUUGCGUCAUGUAAGUUAUUUCCAGUGUUGAAAAUACUUCUAUGACUAUUCAUGUUUUAAAAGAAAAUGGUGCACCACAGGAAUAACCUAGCACAAUUUAGGGCCGAAUCAAACAUUUGAAAUAUUAACUUGCAGUAGGAGGCUAUUAACAUGUGAAGCAUGAAUAUGGUUUCAACUAGGAUGAUUGAAAACUCAAGACAGUCUAAAACCAUUUCAUCUACUGUUAUGGACGUAUACUAGAAUAAAGCAACACCAUGUUGUCUCUUUCUGCAUUGGCAAUGGUAAAUAUGAUGAUCAAAUACUGUAUGACGCCAUUGUGAUGAAUGUUGCACAUACCAUUUUAUACAUGGCUAUUUAACCAGUAUGCAAUUCACAACGGUCAUCUUAGUUACUCUUUUUCAUGUGGAGAAAAGCUCACCUUUGUGCCAAGGAGGACAUUUGAUAGUGUUAAGACUUGAGGAUUCUUAAGCAUAAUCUGGAAGACACACAGGAACUCUGAUUUUGUGGGAAUGAAAAGUGACAAAUGAAAUCAUCUGCAAGCGGAACAGUUUUUUUUUCUCCUGGGGUAGUCUGACAUAGAUCUAAUCUGAUGUAUGCUAGAAUAAAUGGUGGAACCUUGUUGCAGUGUACAAGAAACUACAAAGCUUUUAGAAGAUGCAACUUUCACGUAGAUGCCGGUGUCUGCUGUUCUUUGAGAUCAGAAACUUUCACAGCAAAACUUGCUCUCGAUAUUUUUCCCAAAAUAAUCACCCGCUACCUUGAAUUCCCUGGGAAAGAAGAUAUGUCUUUUCGGAAUCCUACGAAUACGAGACCCUGUCGUUCUUAGAAGUUAUUAUGCAAGCCGCGGUGAAGCAAAAUAUAUUAAUUCGUAAGAAUGAGGCUCGGUUAUUUCGUUUAUGGCUAUGUUAGAUAGCCUUGUAAGCUGAUGUCUAACAGCCCAAUUUGUUGCCAUUUUGUAGCUUAUUGAAAUGUCACUUAGGGGGUAUUUAGUUCGCUAUCAGAAUUGAAAUCAAAAUAGUCAAAUCUCUCAAAAUGCUUGGUUUAUGAUUGAAAUUAAAGUUGCAAUGAAAAAUUGAAUCCAUAGAAGAAAGUAAAGGUUGAGUUUUAUGUAGAUUGGAUCAUUUUCAUUCUAUCUUAGAAUCGGAAUCAGAUUAUUUUCAAAUCAAACGGUUAGAAUGGGAGUCAUCCAUUCUCAUUUCGAUUUCAGAUCCUCGUUCUUUCCAACCAAGCACCUCUUUACUUUCUCUUUUUGUCUCAUCAGUGUAUAAUCCAUAGUUAUAUAAUUUGUUGGUUCAUUUGUCUGAGGUUUGAAUUUGCAAUUUGUUCAUCCAUAACAAAUUAUUUGGUACCAUUUUAUUUUUUAUUUUAAAAAUAAAAUCAUAAAAAUCACCAUAAUAAUCAUUGCCUCUGUCACUAUCAUCACCGUCUUAGCCAUUAUCGGCAUAUUUUUAUUUUGAUAAAAUA